rnacentral:rRNA from 1 species
CAGUCACAUAACCCCAGCCUUGUUUUCCUUUGUGAAACUAGGCAAACGGAGGAGAAAAUGGAGAAACUGAGAUGGAGAUUGGGCCUGAAAGGUUUUGAAGGAGUGGGAAGUGAUGGGAGAAGUGGGGGUCUAGCUCUCUACUGGUAUGAAAACAUUCAU